rnacentral:rRNA from 1 species
AACGAACGCUGGCGGCAGGCCUAAUACAUGCAAGUCGAACGCUCGUAGCAAUACGAGAGUGGCAGACGGGUGAGUAACACGUGGGAACCUUCCCUAUGGUUCGGAAUAGCUCAGGGAAACUUGAGGUAAUACCGGAUAAGCCCUUACGGGGAAAGAUUUAUCGCCAUUGGAUGGGCCCGCGUCGGAUUAGCUAGUUGGUGGGGUAACGGCCUACCAAGGCGACGAUCCGUAGCUGGUCUGAGAGGANGAUCAGCCACACUGGGACUGAGACACGGCCCAGACUCCUACGGGAGGCAGCAGUAGGGAAUAUUGGACAAUGGGCNCAAGCCUGAUCCAGCCAUGCCG